GAUGAACGCUGGCGGCGUGCCUAAUACAUGCAAGUCGAGCGAACGGACGAGAAGCUUGCUUCUCUGAUGUUAGCGGCGGACGGGUGAGUAACACGUGGAUAACCUACCUAUAGGACUGGGAUAACUUCGGGAAACCGGAGCUAAUACCGGAUGAUAUUUUGAACCGCAUGGUUCAAAAGUGAAAGACGGUCUUGCUGUCACUUAUAGAUGGAUCCGCGCUGCAUUAGCUAGUUGGUAAGGUAACGGCUUACCAAGGCAACGAUGCAUAGCCGACCUGAGAGGGUGAUCGGCCACACUGGCACUGAGACACGGUCCAGACUCCUACGGGAGGCCGCAGUAGGGAAUCUUCCGCAAUGGGCGAGAGCCUGACGGAGCAACGCCGCGUGAGUGAUGAAGGUCUUCGGAUCGUAAAACUCUGUUAUUAGGGAAGACCAUAUGUGUAAGUAACUGUGCACAUCUUGACGGUACCUAAUCAGAAAGCCACGGCUAACUACGUG
rnacentral:rRNA from 1 species